rnacentral:rRNA from 1 species
UACGAAGGGGGCUAGCGUUGUUCGGAAUUACUGGGCGUAAAGGGCGCGUAGGCGGGCCACCAAGUCAGGGGUGAAAUCCCACGGCUCAACCGUGGAAGUGCCCUUGAUACUGGUGGCCUCGAGGGAGGCAGGGGCGUGCGGAACUUUGGGUGGAGCGGUGAAAUGCGUAGAUAUCCUAAGGAACACCGGUGGCGAAAGCGGCGUACUGGGUCUUAUCCGACGCUGAGGCACGAAAGCUAGGGUAGCGAACGGG